UGAGUUGUGGAAGCAGCAUAGCCCAACUUCACAAGACUCAGUCGUCUGGCAAGAAAAUACCUGACCAUUCCAGCAACUAGCGCCCCAUCGGAGAGGGUCUUUAGUGUGGGUGGGGGUAUUGUCACCUGUCACCGAGCUUGCCUCAAGCCUGCUGUUGAUAGGCUCAUUUUCCUUGCAAAGAAUGUUUAAAAUGCAAUUACAUUUUUUAUGGCGAAUGGUGUUACUGUUUACAUGUCAAUUCAACUAAGAGUUACCUCAGGAUUUUUUGUUGUUUUAUUAGCUCAAUCCAAAUACAGUAUAAAUAAUUUGGAUGUUUCACAAUCUUUGUUGCACACUGCACAGUGACUUUUCAGUUAGAGAAAGGGUUUGCCUUUGCAAUUUUGUUUAUGUUGAUGCACUUUAAUUAAAUACAAUAAAUAUAUAUUUUUAAAAUAUA